UUGAAUUCUUUUCUCCGAGUUGUAUCCUCUAAGGAGUUCUACUCUAUGAGAUGCAACCGAUAGGGUAGGUCUGGAAACGGACUUGUUCCGCUUAGAGCGGGAUUAACCUGCCGGUUCGCCGAUUAAGUUUGGCAGAACGCUUUGCAAAGGAGAGUUAAAAUAGAUUAG
rnacentral:ncRNA from 2 species